AAACGAGGAGGUUACAUGUGAAAAUCUCUAUAAAAAGACUGAAAAUAAACAAAACAUUCAGGGAAAUGAGAAAUGCGAGCAGGUUACAUAUGAAAAUCUCUAUGAAAAGACUGAAAUCAAGCAAAACAUGCAGGGAAAUGAGAAAUGCGAGCAGGUUACAUGUGACGAUAUCUACGAAAACAUGACUGGAAAUACACAAAACAUGCAGGGAAAUGAGAAACACAGCAAGGUUGAAGAUCUUUAUGAAAUCAUGACUGGAAAUAAACAAAUCAUUCAGCUGCCUGAAAUGGAUAAUAAAAACAUAUAUGAAUCUAUGGUCAGAAAAGUGAAAUAGUUAUAUAAGCAGACGCA